rnacentral:siRNA from 1 species
UGGCUAAUGGGCCAAGAGAAUUACA